rnacentral:rRNA from 1 species
GACGAACGCUGGCGGCGUGCUUAACACAUGCAAGUCGAGCGAGGCCUUCCUCUUCGGAGGGAGAGCCCUAGCGGCGAACGGGUGAGUAACACGUGGGCAACCUGCCCCUAGCACUGGGAUAACUCCGGGAAACCGGGGCUAAUACCGGAUAUGACCUCUGAGGGCAUCCUCUGAGGUGUAAAGGAUUCUGGCUAGGGAUGGGCCCGCGGCCUAUCAGCUUGUUGGUGGGGUAACGGCCUACCAAGGCGACGACGGGUAGCCGGCCUGAGAGGGCGAC